rnacentral:rRNA from 1 species
AUUGAACGCUGGCGGCAGGCCUAACAAAUGCAAGUCGAGCGAGCGGCGGACGGGGGUGUAAUGUCUGGGGAACUGCCCGAUGGAGGGGGAUAACUACUGGAAACGGUAGCUAAUACCGCAUACCAUAAGAUGUGCCCAGAUGGGAUUAGCUAGUAGGUGGGGUAAUGGCUAACCUGGGCGACGAUCCCUUGCUGGUCUGAGAGGAUGACCUGACACAUUGGAACGGAGACACGGUGCAGACUCCUACGGGAGGUAGCAGUGGGGAAUAUUGCACAAUGGGCGCAAGCCUGAUGCAGCCAUGCCGCGGGUGUGAAGAAGGCCUUCGGGUUGUAAAGCACUUUCAGCGGGGAGGCGUUACCCGCAGAAGAAGCACCGGCUAACUCCGUGCCAGCCGCCGCGGUCAUUC